rnacentral:rRNA from 1 species
UCCGUAGGUGAACCUGCGGAGGGAUCAUUACACAAAUAUGAAGGCGGGCUGGAACCUCUCGGGGUUACAGCCUUGCUGAAUUAUUCACCCUUGUCUUUUGCGUACUUCUUGUUUCCUUGGUGGGUUCGCCCACCACUAGGACAAACAUAAACCUUUUGUAAUUGCAAUCAGCGUCAGUAACAAAUUAAUAAUUACAACUUUCAACAACGGAUCUCUUGGUUCUGGCAUCGAUGAAGAACGCAGCGAAAUGCGAUAAGUAGUGUGAAUUGCAGAAUUCAGUGAAUCAUCGAAUCUUUGAACGCACAUUGCGCCCUUUGGUAUUCCAAAGGGCAUGCCUGUUCGAGCGUCAUUUGUACCCUCAAGCUUUGCUUGGUGUUGGGCGUCUUGUCUCUAGCUUUGCUGGAGACUCGCCUUAAAGUAAUUGGCAGCCGGCCUACUGGUUUCGGAGCGCAGCACAAGUCGCACUCUCUAUCAGCAAAGGUCUAGCAUCCAUUAAGCCUUUUUUUCAACUUUUGACCUCGGAUCAGGUAGGGAUACCCGCUGAACUUAAGCAUAUCAAUAGCGGAGGA